rnacentral:rRNA from 1 species
CAAUAGCGUAUAUUAAAGUUGUUGCAGUUAAAAAGCUCGUAGUUGGACCUUGGACCUGGACAGGCGGUCCGCCUCACGGCGUGUACUGUCUUGCUGGGUCUUUCCUCUUGGUGAUCUGUUGUUUCGGCAGCAGGGAACCAGGACUUUUACUUUGAAAAAAUUAGAGUGUUCAAAGCAGGCUCGACGCCGGAAUAUAUUAGCAUGGAAUAAUAAAAUAGGACGUGCGGUUCUAUUUUGUUGGCUUUUGGAAUCGCCGUAAUGAUUAAUAGGGACAGUCGGGGGCAUUAGUACUCACAUGCUAGAGGUGAAAUUCUUGGAUUUUGUGAAGACUAACUUCUGCGAAAGCAUUUGCCAAGGAUGUUUUCAUUAA